UGUUCUUAUACUCCACUGUCUCCACAUUGAACCCAAUGGUAGGGAUGGUGGUGACGAUCUCCCCGAGUUUCAGCUUGUAUAGGAUGGUGGUCUUUCCUGCGGCAUCCAGGCCCACCAUCAGGAUGCGCAUCUCCUUCUUCCCAAUCAGGCUCUUGAGAAGGUUUCCAAAGAUAUUGCCCAUGAUCACAGCAGCUGCUUUCUGGGGACAGUGGGGCCCAAGUAGGGGCAGUGGCAGUCUGGUUUUGGCCUGGUCCCUGGUAUGGAAGACUUGAUCCUGUUCCUGCUAUCAGCUGCGCCGCUGCGGCCGCCGCCUCUGCCCCGCAGGUUCCGCUCCGCUCCCUCUGGCUCCCCAAGCCGAC
rnacentral:lncRNA from 1 species